GUCUACGGCCAUACCACCCUGAACGCGCCCGAUCUCGUCUGAUCUCGGAAGCUAAGCAGGGUCCGUCUUUGUUAGUACUUGGAUGGUGUUAGUGUUCCUCUUAUGAGGCGUGUCAGAGAAACCUGUCU
rnacentral:rRNA from 1 species